rnacentral:rRNA from 1 species
CCUACGGGUGGCAGCAGUGGGGGAUAUUGGACAAUGGGGGAAACCCUGAUCCAGCGAUGCAGCGUGAGGGAAGAAGGUUUUCGGAGUGGAAACCUCUGUGGAGGGGGACGAUAAUGACGUUACCCCUUUAGGUAGCCACGUCUAACUACGUGCCAGCAGCCGCGGUAAUACGUAGGGUGCGAGCGUUGUCCGGAAUUACUGGGUGUAAAGGGGGUGUAGGCGGGAAAGCAAGUAAGAAGUGAAAACUAUGGGCUUAACCCGUAGCCUGCUGUGGAAACUGUCUUUCUUGAGUGAAGUAGAGGCAAGCGGAAUUCGUAGUGUAGCGGUGAAAUGCGUAGAUAUGAGGAGGAACACCAGUGGCGAAGGCGGCUUGCUGGGGUUUUACUGACGCUGAUGCUCGAAAGCGUGGGGAGCAAACAGGAUUAGAUACCCCAGUAGUC